rnacentral:other from 3 species
AUCUCCCUGCUGCGUUCGCGAAGGUUGCGAAUUCUUUGAACCGAUAAGCGUAAGCGACGGUUGCGGCGAUCAAGUCUGCUGUUGUGCGCAUGGCCAAACCAAGUGCCUGAAGCAGAUGCGUUGCGGCCACUCUUGGACCCUGGGUUCAGGAAAGCAACCUGGACGGCGCAAGCGGGGAGACC